rnacentral:rRNA from 1 species
UGGCGGACGGGUGAGUAAUGUCUGGGAAACUGCCUGAUGGAGGGGGAUAACUACUGGAAACGGUAGCUAAUACCGCAUAACGUCGCAAGACCAAAGAGGGGGACCCUCGGGCCUCUUGCCAUCGGAUGUGCCCAGAUGGGAUUAGCUUGUUGGUGGGGUAACGGCUCACCAGGCGACGAUCCCUAGCUGGUCUGAGAGGAUGACCAGCCACACUGGAACUGAGACACGGUCCAGACUCCUACGGGAGGCAGCAUG